rnacentral:rRNA from 1 species
UACGGAGGGUGCAAGCGUUAUCCGGAUUCACUGGGUUUAAAGGGUGCGUAGGUGGGCUUGUAAGUCAGUGGUGAAAUCUCCGUGCUUAACAUGGAAACUGCCAUUGAUACUAUAGGUCUUGAAUUAUCUGGAGGUCAGCGGAAUAUGUCAUGUAGCGGUGAAAUGCUUAGAUAUGACAUAGAACACCGAUUGCGAAGGCAGCUGGCUACAGGUCGAUUGACACUGAGGCACGAAAGCGUGGGGAUCAAACAGG